UCCCUGUCUCGUGAGCAAGAUACUUUCCUUUCGAGAAGUCUAGAGAUUUGCCUGCAGCAUCGCACACUACGCUUCCAGCUUCUGCACAAGGGUACCUGUGGUGAUGAUUGAACCAGGAGCAUGGUCCCAUAUACACUCGCGGUAUCCACUGAGCGUGAAACGCAAGUAUAUUUCUGCGUCUCCUCGGGACAAAGCUGCAUACUUAGCUUGGCUAUCGAUCCUUACAGCCUACAUAAGAGCAGACUGUGAUAGAAAGAAUAAAGAUGUUACCUUUGCAAUGGUACCAUGGAUGAGAAUUGGUUUAUGGUAUGAUUCCAAGAACUUGGCUUCUUCGAGAUUCUCAUUGCUACUCACUUUCACCUGUCAACAUAGCUUUCACUCUCUUUAACACUACCAGACAAUCGCAGAUUUAUCAUGGUUGAGCUUUGGAUAGGUAAAUGAUACCUUCUGUGGCGGAGAAUUUCCUUUGAGAGGUUGCACGUAAGUCCCUGAACCCGUUGUAGCAAAGAAAAGGCAGCCAACAUCUUCAGGGGAAGAGUUAUCCGUCUCACAAACCGCAGAAGCCACGGGAAGAUUUGGGCAAGCCAUGACACCGAGCACCACUUUGCCUUCCACAAGCAAGGCUAAUCCCACGGCGUAUUGCUCUCCUUUUACAAAUCUAAGAAUGCAGAGAAAUUCAUUAAUCCGGUUUCUAAGGUAAAGCAUAGUGAAAGCACACAGAUUACAGAGAUUUGUUACCCUUUGGUUCCAUCUAUAGGGUCAAGAAUCCAGUGGCAGCCGCUACAACCGCCUUCUGAUUUACCGCAGUCUAUAGCGUUUAACACGUCAUCUGUGGAUAGAGGAGAGCCAGCGUACGAUUCCUCAGAAGCUAGAGUAUCUUUCACAAGCUUAGUAAUAACUUCUAGGAACUCCUCACUUCCCUUCUUUCGCAGAUCUCCAAAUUCCUGUUGGAGCUCCCUCUCCAAUACAAGACUAACAACAGCUUGCGAGCCUGAAGAAACCAUCCAUAAAUGGGAGAAGUGAAGACAUUUUCUUGAUUGAUUCUAGAGAGAAGCCGAGACUAGCAAACAAGAAACUUGAAUUUGAAUGGGUAAAGCAAACGACGAGGUACAAACCGUAAUCAGCUGAGUAACCGGACUUCUAUCGGAUUUACUCCAUACUUGGGAUUGCAGCAGAGUCUUCUGCACCUCCUGAUUCAUUACAUUAUAAGGUUUGUUUAGUUUCAACGAUUCAUAUAAGCUCCAUGCUUUGAUUUUCUAGGUCCAAAUUGUUACGGUAUAUGAUGGUAUAGUUCAAUGGUGGAUGAGAAAGUAGUCGUCGUUACCUGGCUGAGACAAGCAGCUAGAGAGACGGCUUUCUUUGCAGCGGCUAGCUCCUUCUCAUAAGACAUUGAAAAGCUUCAAGACUGUAUCUAUGUUAUAAUCCAAGACUCCAAGGGAGAACGUAGAAGUAGUCAACACUGAUAUAAAAUAGAGUUUCGUGCGAGACGGAGUUAGUGUUGCAAACCGUCUUCCACGUAAUGCCAGAACAAGUUGACGUUUAAAAAAGAGGAAAAUUAAAGAUAAGAACUUACAGAAUAUGUAGACGUAAUAUUAUACUAUAUUAUCAUGUAGAAUAUUUCACGGAUUUUUGUAUCGAUUUGCAUAUUGUAAUAAUAAUAGUCGUUAGAAAACAAGAGUG